UACGUAGGGGGCGAGCGUUACCCGGAAUCACUGGGCGUAAAGGGAGCGUAGGUGGCCUGACAUGUCGACUGUGAAAACCCGGAGCUCAACUCCGGACUUGCAGUUGAAACUGCCAGGCUUGAGGACGGUAGAGGAAGACGGAACUGCCAGUGUAGGGGUAAAAUCCUUAGAUAUUGGCAGGAACGCCGGUGACGAAGGUGGUUUUCUGGGCCGGUUCUGACACUGAUGCUCGAAAGCCAGGGGAGCGAACGGGAUUAGAUACCCCGGUAGUCCCUGAGCGGGCUGG
rnacentral:rRNA from 1 species